rnacentral:lncRNA from 1 species
CCCACCCCUUUUACUUCAAAGACACGGACAAUUCAGUUCAACACACAUACACUCAACUCUCUCUUCUCUUUUCUGCUACUUGUGAUUAGCCGGCUGAAACCCAAGGCUAAACAAUAGAACUCUAUUUUCUUGUUCUGAUGUUUGACACUUGCAACUGGUAGGUCUCCACCAUUUAAAUAUUGUUCUCUAAAACUAUAUGUGUAUUUCUCCCUUCUACAUGACCCAUCAACUACAUGUUUUCUGGUACUAAAUGACUAUACACUAGUCUGUUAUACCUUUAUGCAUGUUGUUGUUGUUAUGUUUUCUUAUCUCUCCUUGAUUGUUUGCUUUCAUGUGAUCCCCUUUCCCUUUAAUCCCACUUGUAUGUAAGAUGUCCAAAGUUGAGGUACCAUCUCGUUGCCAUCCUUGAUUUCGGAUCAGGUUCUUUUGAACCUCCACUCAAAUCAAUCCCAUUCCCUUAACCCCUUUUAUGUGUUGAGCCUGGACUAGGGUCUGGUAGUGUCCUAAUCACCACUCAGACCACUGUCUGACUUCUGAAAAUCUGCUCUUUUAUUGUUUUUUGAAUCAAGUAAAAGAUCAGGGGUAUGCCAGUACCACCCAUGACUGGUGACCAUCCUUUGCUUUGGUCUUCUUCAAAUCCUCUCACUUUAUACUUAGUAUUAGUUCUUUAAGUCCUACCCCCUAUGGUAAGCCAUGCUUAGGCACCCUAGAGUUCCCUCUGAACUUUGAUACCUAAGGGCUGGUAAUUCCACACGUUGCACUAUUCUAUUAAUCUUUAGGGUGUUAACAUUGCCUGGGCUUCCUGAAAGCCCUUGGAACUUUGAAAAUAUCUAAGAGAAGGCCUUGGAAUCUGGAUCCCGGAUUCGGUAAAAUACAUGUGUUGGACAUUAAGGCUGUUUUGGGCUUCCUCGGGUCCGUUUUUAGUUUUGACGUAUGUAUUUCCUUUCCAUUUUUUGUAAUAACUUUGUAAAAAGACUUGGGGAAUAUUAGUAAAAGGGUGUGGGAGGGGAUUUACUUUCCUGUAUAGAUCAACAUGCAUGUAGAAAUCCUGCAUAUAGCACUUUGACAUUGCAAAUCACUUAGAAAUCAUGCCUAUAGGACUUUAACAUCGCAAAUCACUUAGAAAUCAUGCCUCUAGGACUUUAACAUUGCAAAUCACUUAGAAACCAUGCAUAUUGGACAUUAAUAUUGCAUACCAUUCAGAAAUCAUGCAUAAAGGAUUUUGUAUUGCAAGCAUAAUAGAUAUCAUUUCUAUAGGAAACUGCACAUACGUUAGGCAAACUGUAG